CCCUUAGAUGUUCUGGGCCGCACACGCGCUACACUGAAGGAGGCAGCGUGUACUCCUGGAUCGAAAGAUUUGGGUAACCCGCGAAUCUCCUUCGUGCUAGGGAUUGAGGUUUGCAAUUAUCCUUCAUGAACGAGGAAUUCCCAGUAAGUGCAAGUCAUAAGCUUGCGCUGACUACGUCCCUGCCCUUUGUACACACCGCCCGUCGCUACUACCGCUUGAAUGAUUUAGUGAGGACUUCGGACUGGGACCGAUGCGGCUUUCGGGCUGCGUCGGUAUUCUGGAAAGAUGUCCAAACUGUAUCAUUUAGAGGAAGUAAAAGUCGUAACA
rnacentral:rRNA from 1 species